rnacentral:rRNA from 1 species
UACAGAGGUCUCAAGCGUUGUUCGGAUUCAUUGGGCGUAAAGGGUGCGUAGGUGGCGCGCUAAGUCAGGUGUGAAAUUUCGGAGCUUAACUCCGAAACUGCAUUUGAUACUGGCGUGCUUGAGGACUGGAGAGGAGACUGGAAUUCACGGUGUAGCAGUGAAAUGCGUAGAUAUCGUGAGGAAGACCAGUGGCGAAGGCGGGUCUCUGGAUAGUUCCUGACACUGAGGCACGAAGGCCAGGGGAGCAAACGGG